GAUGAACGCUGGCGGCGUGCCUAAUACAUGCAAGUCGAGCGAACGGACGAGAAGCUUGCUUCUCUGAUGUUAGCGGCGGACGGGUGAGUAACACGUGGAUAACCUACCUAUAAGACUGGGAUAACUUCGGGAAACCGGAGCUAAUACCGGAUAAUAUUUUGAACCGCAUGGUUCAAACGUGAAAGACGGUCUUGCUGUCACUUAUAGAUGGAUCCGCGCUGCAUUAACUAGUUGGUAAGGUAACGGCUUACCAAGGCAACGAUGCAUAGCCGACCUGAGAGGGUGAGCGGCCACACUGGAACUGAGACACGGUCCAGACUCCUACGGGAGGCAGCAGUAGGGAAUCUUCCGCAAUGGGCGAAAGCCUGACGGAGCAACGCCGCGUGAGGGAUGAAGGUCUUCGGAUCGUAAAACUCUGUUAUUAGGGAAGAACAUAUGUGUAAGUAACGGUGCACAUCUUGACGGUACCUAAUCAGAAAGCCACGGCUAACUACGUG
rnacentral:rRNA from 1 species